rnacentral:rRNA from 1 species
UACGGGGGGGGCAAGCGUUGUUCGGAAUUACUGGGCGUAAAGGGCUCGUAGGCGGCCAAUUAAGUCAGACGUGAAAUCCCUCGGCUUAACCGGGGAACUGCGUCUGAUACUGGAUGGCUUGAGAUUGGGAGAGGGAUGCGGAAUUCCAGGUGUAGCGGUGAAAUGCGUAGAUAUCUGGAGGAACACCGGUGGCGAAGGCGGCAUCCUGGACCAACACUGACGCUGAGGAGCGAAAGCCAGGGGAGCAAACGGG